GAGUUCAUGCCCUCACGGGUAGACCUCCCACCCUGGGUGCGCGCAAGCGCACCCUUGGUACUUCGGCGAGUCGCUGGGGGCCUCUGGGCCUCGAGCCCCAGGCUUUCGGGCCUGGGAGCCGCUCGCAGAAGGAAAACCAAACCCUGAAUUUAGUGUCGUCUGAGUAAUAUUUAAUAGUUAAAACUUUCAACAACGGAUCUCUUGGCUCU
rnacentral:misc_RNA from 1 species